AGGACGAACGCUGGCGGCGUGCUUAACACAUGCAAGUCGAGCGGAAAGGCCCUUCGGGGUACUCGAGCGGCGAACGGGUGAGUAACACGUGAGCAACCUGCCCCUGGCUCUGGGAUAGCCUCCGGAAACGGGGAUUAAUACCGGAUAUUCACUGUCUCCUGCAUGGGGGGUGGUGGAAAGUUUUUCGGCUAGGGUGGGGCUCGCGGCCUAUCAGCUUGUUGGGGGGGUGACGGCCCACCAAGGCGACGACGGGUAGCCGGCCUGAGAGGGCGACCGGCCACACUGGGACUGAGACACGGCCCAGACUCCUACGGGAGGCAGCAGUGGGGAAUAUUGCGCAAUGGGCGGAAGCCUGACGCAGCGACGCCGCGUGCGGGAUGAAGGCCUUCGGGUUGUAAACCGCUUUCACCAGGGACGAAGCGGAAGUGACGGUACCUGGGGAAGAAGCGCCGGCUAACUACGUGCCAGCAGCCGC
rnacentral:rRNA from 1 species